rnacentral:rRNA from 1 species
GGCGAACGGCUGAGGAACACGUGCGUACCGACCCUGCGGUGGGGAAUACCGGCUGGAAACAGCCAACAAUACCGCAUACGCUUGGCAACAAGGAAAGCCCUUGGGUGCCGCAGGACGGGCGCGCGGCCCAUCAGGUAGUUGGCGGGGUAACGGCCCACCAAGCCGGUGACGGGUCACUGGUCUGCGAGGACGGCCAGUCAGACUGGGACUGCGACACGGCCCAGACACCUACGGGUGGCAGCAGCAAGGAAUCUUCCCCAAUGGACGCAAGUCUGAGGGAGCAACGCCGCGUGGAGGAUGACGGCUUUCGGGUUGUAAACUCCUUUUCGGUGGGAUGAAACGGACAGUACCACCGGAAUAAGCCCCGGCUAACUCUGUGCCAGCAGCCGCGGUAAGACAGAGGGGGCAAGCGUUGUCCGGAAUUACUGGGCGUAAAGCGCGCGCAGACGGUGGGUGAUGUGCCUGGUGACAGUCCGCCGCUUAACGGCGGGAGGUCUGGGUAAACACACACACUAGCAAUAGGGAGAGGGGUGUGGAAUACCCGGUGGAGCGGUGAAAUGCGUAGAGAUCGGGUGGAACACCAGUGGCGAAGGCGGCACCCUGGCCCUAGAUGGACGUUGAGGCGCGACAGCGUGGGGAGCAAACGGGAUUAGAUACCCCGGUAGUC